rnacentral:rRNA from 1 species
CGGCACGCCUAACACAUGCAAGUCGAACGAAGUAGCAAUACUUAGUGGCAGACGGGUGAGUAGCAUGUAGGUAUCUGCCCUUUGGCCUGGAAUAACACGAGGAAACUUGUGCUAAUACCGGAUAAGUCUUUACGGAGAAAGCUUUAUGCACCAUUGGAUGAGCCUGCACUUGAUUAGUUUGUUGGUGGGGUAAUGGCCUACCAAGACUGUGAUCAAUAGCUGAUUUGAGAGGAUGAUCAGCCACAUUGGGACUGAGACACGGCCCAAACUCCUACGGGAGGCAGCAGUGGGGAAUCUUGCACAAUGGAGGAAACUCUGAUGCAGCGAUGCCGCGUGAGUGAAGAAGGCCUUUGGGUUGUAAAGCUCUUUCGUCGGGGAAGAAAAUGACUGUACCCGAAUAAGAAGGUC